AGAUCUCUUCCAACUCAUUUGUUAUGGUUAUAAUUCUUUAUAAAGGCUACAUAAUAUUCCAUGGUGUGUUGUAUCAAAAUUAAUUCGGUAUUUUCUCUUUUGAUAAGCAUUCAUUUUAAGAUAACUUCAUUGACACUUUGUUGGCAUUUAGAAGGAAACAGAGCUAAAUGUAUGUACUCAUUUCUACAUUUUUAAGUUGGAAGUCUAGCCUCCAAACUUGUGAAUGAAUGCUAAAUGCAAGUGUAUUUUCAGAAAUAAAGCUAUGAUAAUUGAUAUUUUGGGAGGUAAUGAAAUAUACUUUGUACAAAUAGCAGCAGUUGAUUGCUUUAGGAUCUCUAGAAUAAGUUGUUUGGACAUACACUUGUUAGCAAAUAUUCUAGAUGUAUGAGGCUCACGUAGGAAUCUUUUAGCAAAUUCAAAAGACCUGCUUGCAUUAAAGCCCAAGGAGAGGUAAUUGAUCUGGGGGGGCGGGGUGGGGGGGCGGUUUGUCAGACCUUGCCUCUCAGGUGGCUGAAAGGCCACUGACAUCAGCAUCAGCUUUGAUUUGUUAUUCAAAGUGUCAAGGGCUGUGGCACCAACAGGACACACCACCAAGAACUCUAGGUUCCUCCUGUCCCAAACUCGCUUUGCUUAAGUAGGAAAUGCUGGGAUCAUCUAUGUGAGAAAAGAAUCUGAAGAAGAAUGGAUGUGUGUAUAUGUAUGACUGAAUCGCUUUGUUGUACAGCAGAAAUUAUCACAACCUUGUAAAAUAAAUAUACUUAAAUAAAACUUAUUUUAAAAAAACAUUAGCCAUUAACUUGUCUUAGGCAGACAAAGAAUUACUAUAUUUUAAAUGGCAUUGUGCUGUUUCCUAUAGGUAGAUUACCUGAAUCUACCUGAAUUAGGUAAAGUUGUGUCUGAGGGACUUUCUUAGAAAAUUUAGUCUUUUUAAAAUGUUGGCAGAACCCAGUCAGGGCUUCAUUCCUGGCUGGUGCCGGUGCUCUCUCCUGGCCUUGGUGCCCAGCAGCCUACAGAGCAUCCCUGGGUCUUGAGCAGCUUUUUGAAGUCUUGAUUUCUGUCAAUUGCAAGUCAGGAGACAUGGGCUCUAGCUUUGACUUUAUUAUUAGUUGUCUUGCCUUAGACAUGUCACUUAAAAUACCAGUUCUCGCUUUCCUCAUUAGUAACAUUAAGAGUUAGAUGAGGGUCCUCUUAAGUCCUUCCAGCAUGUGUGUUUAUGAUCAAUAUUCUGUCUGUUCUUAAUUGAAUCUUCUCGAUAAGACUCCUAGCAGAUCCCUUUUUAUUGCUGGUUAUUACACAGGACUGUUAAUAAUCCAUUACUUAAAAAUGGCUUGUUCUAGGACACCUGUGACUUUUGGUCCCUGAAUUGGCCACUGGUGUAAUCAUGGUUGUUUUGGCUUCUCUGAGUCUCAGGGGACAGGUUACUCAGACCAGAAGGUCAGGAUCAUAAGGACUUGUGCUAUUUGUUCAUGAUCUGAGUUCUUUAGACAUAAGGAUCCAGUGGCAGAUUCACGUUUCCAUUUAGACUGUUGUUCCUGGGAAAAAUAAUCAGGGAUGCUGUUUUAGCACAAGCCGUAGCCAAUCUCAGACUUGACUUGGCCUUUUUUAUAGAACAGUGAGGGAGUGUCAUAUUUGCCUUGUACAGAUGCCAGGAAUCAGAUGGCCCCUCCACGCUUCAGGGCUGCUUGGAAGCAUAACCGGCGAUGAUCAGGAGCUUCAUCCUGUUCUAAUGGUGCCUCUGAGUCCCAGCAGCACUAGCAGAACUCUGUUAGGCUCCAUUCAGUGUUUGGCGGCCAGACCAUACUUCUGCCACUCUUGGCCACCACACUAUUAAGGCAAACUUCUAAUUUCAUUCCUUUAACAGAUACUCCCCAAAUAGUUACUGAGCAGCAACGACAGGCUCGGCACUGUUCCAGGCUCAGAGAAAAUGACAGUGAAGUGAAUUAAUUCCUAUCAUAAGGCAGUCGUGUUCUGAGGAGCAAAAGAAAGAACAAAUGUGCAAAAUAUGAGUCUGUUAGGCCGUGAGUCUAUGGAGAAAAAUAGGCAGGAGAUGUGUGGGGAAGGGCACAUGUAUUCCUGGGGAUUCAGGGAAGGACUUACAGGGAAUGUAACACUUGAAGAACAGCUUAAAGGAAGGGAGGGGAGUCUGGAGGUUCAUGAGGAGAAGAGAAGAGCUUAAUGAUUAUAAUUAGACUUAUUUUUUAGAAAGUAAAAGGAAGAUAAAUAUUUUCUAAAAAUAUACCUAGAUGUCUAAAGCUGUAUUCAGGGACUGCAGUGGUAAAUUCAUAGUCUUAAAUCCUUAUAUUCUUUUUGUAAAAAAAAAAGAGAAUAAAUUAAUUAUGUUUAUUACUCAAUUUGGCAAAAUAAGUAUAAAACAAACCUAAGGGAGGUAUGAGGAAAUAAGUAAGAAUAAAAGU
rnacentral:lncRNA from 1 species